UUUUUUUUUUUUUUUUUAAGCAUUUCUUGGACCGCUUCUGCAGCAUGUGGAGGUUCCCAGAAAAGGCAAAAAAACAAAAAAUAAAUAAAUAAAUAAAAUUAUCUUUUUCCCUAUUAAGAUUUGGAACAACUAAGUGAGAUGCUUUUCAAGUCAUCUGACAAAGAGUUUCAUCACCAAAACAAUAAAAGUACAUGUGCAUAACAUUUGCUUAAACCCAUGCACAAAGCUAGAUUUGUCACCUCACCUUUCAUGAAUUUCUCUUGUUCUUAUUUUGGUCUCUUUAAGGACACAAAAUCAAACUAUAGCAUCUAAGAAUCUUCAGUCUAAAUCAUCUGGGACCCAAGGAGUAUCCUGGAAGCUCUAGUUCUACACAGGUCUACAGAAAAUGGAUUAAGAGUCAUUUUCCUGUUCAAGGAUCACUCAAAUGCAAAUUCUUUUCAGAAGGGGAUAAAUCAGUAGAGGUCUAGAGUUCUUGCUGUCUUCUAGAUCCCUCCAGUCCCUUGGAGAAGAGGUAAAUUAACUGACCAGCUGUUUUCCUAACUGCAUUAUCUGCUAAACAUGUGGUCUGACCCAAAUCACAAUUAAUGUUCAUUUACAAGAUCAAACAACUUGAGUGGUAGCAGCUAAAACUGUAAUAAAAUGUACACACAAAUUUUACACUUUCAAUUUUCCAAAUCUGUCAGUUUGAACUACUUCAGAAACUUGAAUAACACACUGUAAAGUCUAACAAAUAAAUCUUCUCCAGUAACAUUUUAAAUAACCUUGUCCCACACCUUUCCUUCUUUAAUUCAUUACUGACCCACAGGGAGAGGAAAUACUUAGUAUCUAUCAUGUGCCUUGACCAACUAUGGAUUUAUACACUGGAUUAAAACAAUUUAGAAAAAAACCAUUUCUGAAAAGUAAACAUGGUUAUUUUCCAAAAAGGCACUCUCAGUAUUUUGCUCAGCUGUUUUCAGAGUUGCAGACAUACUACUGGAAUAAAUUAUAGAUUAAACAUAUGCCUUUGUAUUUUGGGAUAUCUAUUUCCCCAGUUUGCAGAUUUAAAGGAAAAUAUGAAUGGGAUACAGGGACCAUUUUACUUUUUAUCGUUACACUUAAUUUAACAAACAUAAUCAAUCAGAAUAACUAUUAAUACUACAGAACUAAGGAUAUAAAGAACAUAAGGCAGGAAAAUACAGUUACUAGAUUAAACAGUCUAAAACCAAGUUUGGGGCUUAAAUUGUAAUAUACACCAAUUUCAACACUAACAUUUUCUUUCUUACCCUAAAGGUCAAACUCAUAGAGUUCACAAAUCCAUGAAGAUCUCAUUGUUGUACUCUAUAAAACAGAGCAACAGUAAGAGUACCAUCAUUAUGUAGCUGAAGCAAGAAUUAAAUUAGCACCUAACACAUAUAGACUAAGUACUUAAUAAAUAUUCUCUACUGUUACUACCAGUACUCUGGCUAGGGCACAGCCCUAGCCUCUGUCUGGCAGUUCCUCUUCCUCCCAUGAAAGGAGCUCAAUAAAGGCUGAGGACUAUGCUAAUGGAAGCUUGUCUUUGUGAUUCUGCUUAUGAACUUGGGCUUAAGGAAGAGAAGUGCCCAUGGUAAAAUCCAAGGUGAAUAUUUAGGUCAAAUUCUGUUUUUAUCAAGAUCGAGCUUUUUCCCUGAUUUAUUUUAUCUCAAGAUCAAUCUCAUAAGGGAAAGAGCCAAAGGAUUAGAUGACUUUUUUGGGAAAGAGUUCUUUGCCUUUUCUAUUGCUGACUUCAGUCACUUUUAUGAACUUGGUGAAGAUUAUCUGCGCUGAGGAAUGGUUGAGAGCUAGGCUCCAUUCCUCCCCAUUCUCUCCACCCCCAAAAUGCUCUCCUGUCAUAGCAGAUGUUGCUGCUGGAAUGAAUUAUAUUUAUUAUAAAUUUUUGUGGUGUUGCUAGAAGAUGAACAUAUAGCACAACCUACCUCGGAUUAU
rnacentral:lncRNA from 1 species